rfam:Lichtheimia corymbifera JMRC:FST:9682, FST 9682, WGS project CBTN01000000 data, contig: SCAF00098
GCUUGCCUAGUUCAAUGGUAGAACAGGGUACUUCUAAUACCCCAAUCCAGGUUCGAUUCCUGGGGUGAGUU